rnacentral:rRNA from 1 species
CCAAUAGCGUAUAUUAAAGUUGUUGCAGUUAAAAAGCUCGUAGUUGAAUUUCGGGAUCAGUACGCUGGUCGUGCCUUCGGUAUGUACUGGUGUUACUGGUUCCUACCUUCUGACGAACCGUCAUGUCAUUAAUUUGGUGUGGCGGGGAAUCAGGACUGUUACUUGGAAAAAAUUAGAGUGUUUAAAGCAGGCUCGCGCUUGCAGACAUUAGCAUGGAAUAAUGAAAUAGGACGUUCGAUCCUAUUUUGUUGGUUUCUAGGAUUGACGUAAUGAUUAAUAGGGAUAGUUGGGGGCAUUAGUAUUCAAUUGUCAGAGGUGAAAUUCUUGGAUUUAUUGAAGACUAACUACUGCGAAAGCAUUUGCCAAGGAUGUUUUCAUUAAUCAAGAACGAAAGUUAGGGGAUCGAAGACGAUCAGAUACCGUCGUAGUCUUAACCAUAAACUAUGCCGACUAGGGAUCGGAUGAUGUUAAUUUUUUAAUGACUCAUUCGGCGCCUUAC